UGCAGUCGANCGGCAGCACGGGGGCAACCCCGGUGGCGAGUGGCGAACGGGUGAGUAACAUAUCGGAACGUGCCCUGGAGUGGGGGAUAACUAGUCGAAAGAUUAGCUAAUACCGCAUACGAUCUACGGAUGAAAGUGGGGGAUCGCAAGACCUCAUGCUCGUGGAGCGGCCGAUAUCUGAUUAGCUAGUUGGUGGGGUAAAGGCCUACCAAGGCAUCGAUCAGUAGCUGGUCUGAGGGGACGACCAGCCACACUGGGACUGAGACACGGCCCAGACUCCUACGGGAGGCAGCAGUGGGGAAUUUUGGACAAUGGGCGCAAGCCUGAUCCAGCAAUGCCGCGUGAGUGAAGAAGGCCUUCGGGUUGUAAAGCUCUUUUGUCAGGGAAGAAACGGUUCGGGUUAAUACCUUGGGCUAAUGACGGUACCUGAAGAAUAAGCACCGGCUAACUACGUGCCAGCAGCCGCGGUAAUACGUAGGGUGCAAGCGUUAAUCGGAAUUACUGGGCGUAAAGCGUGCGCAGGCGGUUGUGCAAGACAGAUGUGAAAUCCCCGGGCUCAACCUGGGAAUUGCAUUUGUGACUGUACGGCUAGAGUGUGUCAGAGGGGGGUAGAAUUCCACGUGUAGCAGUGAAAUGCGUAGAGAUGUGGAGGAAUACCGAUGGCGAANGCAGCCCCCUGGGAUAACACUGACGCUCAUGCACGAAAGCGUGGGGAGCAAACAGGAUUAGAUACCCUNNAGUCCACGCCCUAAACGAUGUCUACUAGUUGUCGGGUCUUUAUUGACUUGGUAACGCAGCUAACGCGUGAAGUAGACCGCCUGGGGAGUANNGUCGCAAGAUUAAAACUCAAAGGNAUUGACGGGGACCCGCACAAGCGGUGGNUGACGUGG
rnacentral:rRNA from 1 species